AGCGAACGCUGGCGGCAGGCUUAACACAUGCAAGUCGAGCGGGCACUUUCGGGUGUCAGCGGCGGACGGGUGAGUAACGCGUGGGAACGUGCCCUCUGGUUCGGAAUAACUCAGGGAAACUUGAGCUAAUACCGGAUACGCCCUUUUGGGGAAAGGCUUGCUGCCGGAGGAUCGGCCCGCAUCUGAUUAGCUAGUUGGUGAGGUAACGGCUCACCAAGGCGACGAUCAGUAGCUGGUCUGAGAGGAUGGUCAGCCACACUGGGACUGAGACACGGCCCAGACUCCUACGGGAGGCAGCAGUGGGGAAUAUUGGACAAUGGGCGCAAGCCUGAUCCAGCCAUGCCGCGUGAGUGAUGAAGGCCUUAGGGUUGUAAAGCUCUUUUAUCCGGGACGAUAAUGACGGUACCGGAGGAAUAAGCCCCGGCUAACUUCGUG
rnacentral:rRNA from 1 species